rnacentral:rRNA from 1 species
ACUUAAAUUGAAGAGUUUGAUCAUGGCUCAGAUUGAACGCUGGCGGCAGGCCUAACACAUGCAAGUCGAGCGGCAGCGGGAAAGUAGCUUGCUAUUUUUGCCGGCGAGCGGCGGACGGGUGAGUAAUGCCUGGGGAUCUGCCCAGUCGAGGGGGAUAACAGUUGGAAACGACUGCUAAUACCGCAUACGC